rnacentral:tmRNA from 1 species
GGGGCUGCAUUGGUUUCGACGUGGGUUCGGACGCGGUGUGGUGCAUGUCGAGCUGAGUGUGCUCGUAAAACUGAUUCAAACAAACUAACUGCAAACGACGAACGUUUCGCACUCGCUGCUUAAUUGCCAGUGAGC